rnacentral:rRNA from 1 species
UACGGAGGGUGCGAGCGUUGUCCGGAAUCAUUGGGCGUAAAGGGCGCGUAGGUGGCCCGGUUAAGCGUGCGGUGAAAGCUUGGGGCUCAACCCCGAGUCGGCCGUGCGAACUGCUGGGCUUGAGCACUGUAGAGGCAGGCGGAAGUUCCGGGUGUAGCGGUGGAAUGCGUAGAGAUCCGGAAGAACACCGGUGGCGAAGGCGGCCUGCUGGGCCGGUA